rnacentral:lncRNA from 1 species
AUGCUGGACACGUGGCAGGAAGCGGGGAGAGCCGACACCGGAAGCCCUGGAAGGUUGCCUGCUCUGCAGCAGCUGGAGGGAGCAAGAGAGCCCUGUGGCUGGCAUGGUCAGAAGAAAUCUAAGCGGACUAAGAGCCAUAACCUGCCCUCGAACUCAGAUCUUAUGCACAAAAUCAUCAAGUGGAAAUAUGAAAAGGAGCGUAAAAUAUACCCACUCACAGGGAUUUUAAAGAUAUGCCUUCCAAUAAGAGCAAACAUUUUAUGUGAAACCCAAGAUGAUCUGCAGAGGGAAACGUGCUGGGCUGGGAAGGAAAGUGGUUGGAGGCUGCAGCCCAGCUUUGAGGCUAUGAUGGUCCAGUUGCUGUCGGGCUCUGCAUCUCACUUUCCUGUUCUGUAAAAUCUGACCAGAUGAUCUGAACGCUCCCUUCCAGCUCUAAGCCGGCAAUGCUUACAUAGAGAAUCAAAUGAACGCCCCACCCCACCGGGGUUACUGCUGAUCCACACAGAUGCACACUCCCACUUCCCUGCAUCUUCACGUUCACUACAUUCAUCUCCAUCUGAUUAUCAAGUUGCAAACUGGACCAGCGCCAAACAGCAACUUCUGUUAUAAAAUCUCUCUCAAUCUAAUUCCCACAUGGGAGAAAGGCACCAGGAAGAUGGAGUGGCCCCAUCUUCCUCCCCAAAUGAAACACGACUAAGACAGUCCAACCAGCCUGUGAUCCCAGCAACAGCUCCCAGCUCCAGAUGUGGCAGCCUGAUGUUGAUGAGGUCAAGUCACAGAUCCAAGACUCACCAAAAAAAAUUCACCACACACAGAAAAAGGAAAAACAACUUCUUUCCUUAUCCAGAAUGUGUCCAUUAACCUGGAGGCACGUCCAAGAGCCUUGAAGCAGUAACCAACGGCAUUAGCAUGGAGUGCGGGUGUGUCAGCCCAUUCCACGCCACUGCGAGCAGAGCCACCUGAACAUCCCUAGAAGGAAGACCCCUUGACCUUCCCAUUCUUACCAUGAGGCACGGUUCCUGUUUUGGGGGAAAGUCAUCCUAAGGAAGGAUAUUGCGUUGCUAUUGACAAAGGAAAAAUACGCUUGUGCAUUUCUCCCGGUAAGCUAAUCUGCAAAAGGCCUAAUCACACUAAGCAAAUAUUUUCCAGCCCCAAGAGAGGAGGGAAAGAGGAUGAGGACGUGCUUGCCCCCUGAGGACAUGACCCUUCCUCCCUAUCCCUAGGAGAACUCAGGGCCAGGGUCAUACCUUGUUCCAGGGAACCUGGGAAGGAGGGUCUUUGGCUGGUCCCUGGGUUCAGGGUGAAACUCUGGAUGGUCCCACAACGUAGGAAAGGGAAAGUGAAUGUCAGGGAAGUCCAACCGUGUCUGCUACACACCCAUGUGGAUGCGAGCCCCCUCCCAUCACUGUGACUCCAAAGGCUGGAAUCUCUCUCAUCCUCUUGUCAGCGCCCCAGGUCUUAGCACAGACUGAAUCAACAUGAGAACAUCGCUGAAUGGAGUUAGAAUCAUAAAUACCGUUUCUUUAGCCUCUGAGACAUCAUGAUUACGAUAUUGUAAUGGCCACGCAGUCUGAACAUUCGCCCGUGUCAGACUGGGGUUCGCUAACCACCUGAAGGUGCACACCAUGAGUCUCCUUUACAGUCAGCAUCGGAUGAAGCUGCUGGGCAGAUCCAGGCCCCCCACAGCCAGGCCCCUGCAGGACAUCCCGCUGCCUGGCUACCCAGCUACCUGUGCAGGACCACAGCGCUGUCUCACCUGUAGCCACGCAAAGCAAAAACCUCUGCAAUUGCUUCUGGAAGGGCCGCUGGCAGAGGCACUUUUCCAUUGGUGGAGGAAGCCUCCCUUAGCUGAGCAACAGCUGCUGAACCCCAUGGUCCUCCUGCCUCCAGACAUUCCAGUCACCUCCACAUGGCUCUGCAGCAGAGCCCCGCGUUUAUGGAUUGCAGCCGUGGCCUUUAUGGGUGGACUAUGAGUGAGUGAGGGGGAAAAGCUGGAAGAAGGAAGCGUGCGCAUGUGACUUCAGUGACGCCUGUGCUCCGACCACAUAGUUUAAGUGUCAGCCUCCAUCUUGUGCUUAUUUUUAAACCAUUGCUAUUAACUGGACCAAUGGUCAUAAUGCAGUUCCCCCCUUACCAUCACAGUAUUACCAGGAAAUUCGUGUUCAAACUUCAGCAGCACAGAAUUCCCGCGAGAAAAAGCACUAACUGGCCGCAUGCGGUGGCUCACGCCUGUAAUCCCAGCACUUUGGGAGGCUGAGGUGGGCGGAUCACCUGGGGUCAGGAGUUCAAGACCACCCUGGCCAACAUGGUGAAACCCUGUCUCUACUAAAACUACAAAAAUUAGCCAGGCAUGGUGGUGCACGCCUGUAAUCCCAGCUACUAGGGAGGCUGAGGCAGGAGAAUCAUUUGAACCCGGGAGGCAGAGGUUGCAGUGAGCUGAAAUUACGCCAUUACACUCCAACCUGGGUGACAAGAGCAAGACUCCGUUAAAAAAAAAAGGAAAAAAAAAAAAAAAAAGCACUAACUGUGGUGAACAGAACUCCUGGCUGAAAACAUAAUUAGAAGAUGCAAGGGAGCAAUUUCCAGACUGCCAGCAGGGACUGAGCCACUCACCCACCAAGCCCCAUAGUCCAUGUGUCAUCGGAGCAAACCUUGCCGGGGCUUCUCUGCCUUUUAGAUCAGAGUGGGCCAUUGGGGUCGUCAGACAACUGCCCAGGUGCUGGCAAUUGCCUGUCUCUGUUGAGGGAUGGGUACAGGCCACGGGGAAGGUCCAUGUUUCCUAUGCUAUCUGGAGAAUCUAAAUUGCUACAAUAUUUUAAAUAUGCCUUUAGUUGCAGGAAGGUGAGGGAGAGGCCACUAAAAUGUGGAUUCCGCAAGGGCAGGAGCCUUUUUUAUUUGGUUCUGAGGCCCUAGAACAGUGUCUGGCACAUAAUCAUUGUCAAUAAAAUGUAUUAAAUGAAUGUUAGCUCUGAAAUAACACUAAGAUAAUU